UCUCCUCCUCCCGCCGCAGCCACCGACGUGGCGGGGACGGAGGAGGAGCGACCUCGCGGCCCGCCGCGCUCGAAAGGCGCUGAGGCGUUCCCUCGCGGCCGCCCGCUUCCCGCCGGGCACGGCCCGGGCCCGCCGAGCUGCGGGGGGCGACGGCGGAAGGAAUGCGGAGCGGCUGACGGCGUGCGCUGCGCUCGGACCGAGCGGUACCGCUGCUGUGCCUGGCGCGGGCGGUCCGUCAGAGCGGGGCGAGGCACGGAAGCGCGGCACCGAAGCGGCCCUUCGCACCAAGCCGGGAUGGAAGUCUCUUAUUCCCCGAAGCCCGGUUAUUUGUGAGCGCCUCCUGCUCUGCGCGGUGACAGCGGGUGCGUUCAGGGAGGAGGACAGCCCAAGGGAAGGACUGGGACUCCACACAACUCAAGUCAGCAGCCACAGGAUCACCUCUGAAGGAUAACGGUACUGCCAAAAGCCAGUCCGCUCCGCGUGCAGGCCCUCCUUGCUGGGCCAGUUCACUCUGCAGAUGAGAAGAAGGUUGGGAAGAAACACACAGGAGUCCACUGCCAUGUAAAACCCAUCGGGUGAAUACCACGCCCCAUGGAACUUUCCACUGUUAAAAAAAAAGCCUGGAGCCCAGGACUGCCAAACCAGAGGACAGGCACUGUCCCAGUGGAGGGAAACCACACAGCACCUUUGGGAUGACCUCAAGCCAGUGGUAAAGGAAGAAACAGAGUAGGUGUGUAAUUCCGCACGUGACAGCUCAGAUUCUUCCACAUAUCCUGGGGAUGCACAGCCCCAUUCAGCACUGCACUUGUUCUCUGACCACUUCCUCCCGUUCCCCAGUCCUACCCAUCCGUCCAUUAAUCCAGCCCCCAGGUAUGAGGAUGACUAUGCAAGCAGGGCUGUUUCCCCACUAAGUAGGAGAUAACCGACUUCUAAUCAUCUCCAAAAGAGCAGGCGCUCUCCCUAGUUCCAAUAUAUGGAUGUUACCUUGAGCAUGGGAACCAUGGGCAUCUGCUGGUACCUAUUCCUCACACUACUGCCAGUGUCCAUCACCAUAAAAAUACUCCUGUUUCGUCUCUGUCCUCUCUAGAAGAGUUUAGGAUUGCAGAAUCAAAUGCCUUGGGUUGGAGAGGACCUUAAAGAUGCUGGUGCUGUGAAAGAAGCCACUAAAGGAAAAAGAUGUUGUCCAGCUGCAGAUUAAGUUCCUGCCAUAAAAACAAUACAGCACGGCUGGAAGAGCAGACAACCAAGCACAAGCACAUUAUCCAUGGGAAAAUUAUGUCCUGGCACAAAGGCAGGGUUGAAGGAACCCUCCCACGACCAUUGCCCAACCAGGACAUAGGCUAUGCCUCGUCCUGUUGAGGACAUCUGGAGAAGGACAUGCUAGAUGACAAAGCCUGGGAGUGCACAGCAGAUGGGUGUUGCUAAGCUCUCCCUCAAGCACAGUGGCAGCCAAGCUUGACUAAAGUUGCUUGGUCUGUUUAGCUGGUGCUCAGAAGCGACUUGAUGCCAUUUCCAAAUCAGAGUACCAGAGUAGGCAUCUCAUCUCUUCUUUACGUGUGGAUUUGAAUACAUUUGUCAACAUGAGAGCUUCAGAAGUGGUCAAAUCUGUGUUGAGCUGUCAGGAAAAAUAUGUAAAAUCUUGGGGAAAACACAAGUGAUUCCAGAUUAACCACAGUUGUCAUAGUGUUUGUGGCUCUGCUCUACAUGAACUCAACAAAAUGUGUAAUUAUCUCUGACGAGCUAAUUACACAUUGUAAUUUCCUGUAAGGGUUAUUUUUAGGUGAUUUUUUUGUUUGCUUAGUUGGAUAAAAAUAUACAAUAUUGUCCUUAUGUGGGAUUAAUUUUAAAUACAUGUCUUUACACCCCUA